UAUCAUGGUAAUAGACAGGCAGAAACCUACCCUGUGCUGGUUGCUUGAUGUUUCAUGAAUUGCUCUCUUCACUAGACCAAAGGACAAAAGGAGACUUCUCUGUUGUACACAGUCUGUGGAUUUUAUAGUAUCUCUAAUACUAUGAAAGAGUUUAUUAUUCCAACAGCACUGGACAUAUUUGACUUAAAUUGAUCUACAGUGCCCUUGCCAAAAGAAAAGCAUUUGCUUUAUCUGAAUUAUUAUUAAUUAGCUUCCCACAAGCUGUAAAAUUGCCACAUGUGAACCUGCCCAAACAUAAGAUGGAAGUAAAUGAAGUGAUGGCUUGAGCAAUGAAAUAAAAUACAGGCAAGGUGCUUUUACUUCCUGGCACACAGGCCUUUCACCUCUCUGCCCUUUGCUACAGCAGAGAAGCCGACAUCUGAGUACUACAUGGAAGCUGCUGGGCCUCCUCAGUCAGGACACACUCCUCGACAUCUCUGCCUGGAAGUCAGUUUUCUGGGAUGGAAAGUGAACUCAUUCUCAUGAGCCAUUAAAUUCUCCAGUUUCGAAGGAGAGUCCUUUCUUCCUUGCAAUCGAGCUGUUGCCUCAUGAUGCAAAUUAAACUACUCUUUUCAGCUGAGGUAGGUCCCACGUUUGCUUUUCCAGAGAAUAGUUUUUGAGACCAAAUGGCCUGGAUUAAGAAAACUCCGUGAUAAUAAAAGAAUAACUAUAAUGUAUA